rnacentral:rRNA from 1 species
AGCGAACGCUGGCGGCAGGCCUAAAACAUGCAAGUCGAACGCCGUAGCAAUACGGAGUGGCAGACGGGUGAGUAACACGUGGGAACGUGCCCUUUGGUUCGGAACAACACAGGGAAACUUGUGCUAAUACCGGAUAAGCCCUUACGGGGAAAGAUUUAUCGCCAAAGGAUCGGCCCGCGUCUGAUUAGCUAGUUGGUGAGGUAACGGCUCACCAAGGCUACGAUCAGUAGCUGGUCNGAGAGGAUGAUCAGCCACACUGGGACUGAGACACGGCCCAGACUCCUACGGGAGGCAGCAGUGGGGAAUAUUGGACAAUGGGCGCAAGCCUGAUCCAGCCAUGCCGCGUGAGUGAUGAAGGCCUUAGGGUUGUAAAGCUCUUUUGUCCGGGACGAUAAUGAC